rnacentral:rRNA from 1 species
GACGAACGCUGGCGGCGUGCUUAACACAUGCAAGUCGAACGGAAAGGCCCUGCUUUUGUGGGGUGCUCGAGUGGCGAACGGGUGAGUAACACGUGAGUAACCUGCCCUUGACUUUGGGAUAACUUCAGGAAACUGGGGCUAAUACCGGAUAGGAGCUCCUGCUGCAUGGUGGGGGUUGGAAAGUUUCGGCGGUUGGGGAUGGACUCGCGGCUUAUCAGCUUGUUGGUGGGGUAGUGGCUUACCAAGGCUUUGACGGGUAGCCGGCCUGAGAGGGUGACCGGCCACAUUGGGACUGAGAUACGGCCCAGACUCCUACGGGAGGCAGCAGUGGGGAAUAUUGCACAAUGGGCGGAGGCCUGAUGCAGCAACGCCGCGUGCGGGAUGACGGCCUUCGGGUUGUAAACCGCUUUCACCUGUGACGAAGCGUGAGUGACGGUAAUGGGUAAAGAAGCACCGGCUAGCUACGUGCCAGCAGCCGCGGUGAUACGUAGGGUGCGAGCGUUGUCCGGAUUUAUUGGGCGUAAAGGGCUCGUAGGUGGUUGAUCGCGUCGGAAGUGUAAUCUUGGGGCUUAACCCUGAGCGUGCUUUCGAUACGGGUUGACUUGAGGAAGGUAGGGGAGAAUGGAAUUCCUGGUGGAGCGGUGGAAUGCGCAGAUAUCAGGAGGAACACCAGUGGCGAAGGCGGUUCUCUGGGCCUUUCCUGACGCUGAGGAGCGAAAGCGUGGGGAGCGAACAGGCUUAGAUACCCUGGUAGUCCACGCUGUAAACGGUGGGUACUAGGUGUGGGGUCCAUUCCACGGGUUCCGUGCCGUAGCUAACGCUUUAAGUACCCCGCCUGGGGAGUACGGCCGCAAGGCUAAAACUCAAAGGAAUUGACGGGGCCCCGCACGAGCGGCGGAGCAUGCGGAUUAAUUCGAUGCAACGCGUAGAACCUUACCUGGGUUUGACAUGGAUCGGGAGUGCUCAGAGAUGGGUGUGCCUCUUUUGGGGUCGGUUCACAGGUGGUGCAUGGCUGUCGUCAGCUCGUGUCGUGAGAUGUUGGGUUAAGUCCCGCAACGAGCGCAACCCUUGUUCACUGUUGCCAGCACGUUAUGGUGGGGACUCAGUGGAGACCGCCGGGGUCAACUCGGAGGAAGGUGGGGAUGACGUCAAGUCAUCAUGCCCCUUAUGUCCAGGGCUUCACGCAUGCUACAAUGGCUGGUACAGAGAGUGGCGAGCCUGUGAGGGUGAGCGAAUCUCGGAAAGCCGGUCUCAGUUCGGAUUGGGGUCUGCAACUCGACCUCAUGAAGUCGGAGUCGCUAGUAAUCGCAGAUCAGCAACGCUGCGGUGAAUACGUUCCCGGGGCU